UUGGUUCUCCCGCAACACUAACUUGUUAACUCGGUCAGGUCCGGAAGGAAGCAGCCGCAGCAGGCGUCGUGUGUGCCGGGAUGUAGCUGG
rnacentral:SRP_RNA from 1 species